rnacentral:rRNA from 2 species
AGGCUGAGCUGUGAUGGGGAGAAGACAUUGUGUCUUCGAGUCGUUGAUUUCACACUGCCGAGAAAAGCCUCUAGAUAGAAAAUAGGUGCCCGUACCGCAAACCGACACAGGUAGUCAAGAUGAGAAUUCUAAGGUGAGCGAGCGAACUCUCGUUAAGGAACUCGGCAAAAUGACCCCGUAACUUCGGGAGAAGGGGUGCUCUUUAGGGUUAACGCCCAGAAGAGCCGCAGUGAAUAGGCCCAAGCGACUGUUUAUCAAAAACACAGGUCUCUGCUAAACCGUAAGGUGAUGUAUAGGGGCUGACGCCUGCCCGGUGCUGGAAGGUUAAGAGGAGUGGAUAGCUUCUGCGAAGCUACGAAUCGAAGCCCCAGUAAACGGCGGCCGUAACUAUAACGGUCCUAAGGUAGCGAAAUUCCUUGUCGGGUAAGUUCCGACCCGCACGAAAGGCGUAACGAUUUGGGCACUGUCUCAACGAGAGGCUCGGUGAAAUCAUAGUACCUGUGAAGAUGCAGGUUACCCGCGACAGGACGGAAAGACCCCGUGGAGCUUUACUGUAGCCUGAUAUUGAAAUUCGGCACAGCUUGUACAGGAUAGGUA